ensembl:lncRNA
AAUACCAUGUGCGAAAGAGCUGUCUAAUCUGAGGUGAGAGGCACAGGUGAGGUGAGAGGCGCAGGUAAGAUUAAUCACAAGGAUGGGGGUUCUUCAGUGUGCUCAUGGGAUGCUCCCAUCUGCCCUGGCUUCUGCAGAGCAGCUCUAGCUUAGGGACAUUUUCUACCAGUGCCACAUACUUUCCCUUCUGUAUAAAAUGGUCAGAGGGAUCAGCCCUUAGGACUCCCUAAUGCCUCAGUGAUAGAAACCCACCCUCCAAAAUUGCGCCCUCACCACUUUGAGAAUGUUGCGUUUAGAGAACAAUUGUCUUCACGUGUUCAACAUUGUCCUGUUAUUUAUGAGGUUUUCAACCACCUGGAAGCCAGGCAAAUACUGACCCAAGCUCGGAACUGUGCGCUGACCCAAGGACAAAAGGUCUUUUCUGGUUUCCGGUUGAUUGUCCACCGGGUUUGGGGAUUCAGCUUCUCCCCGAGAUAGCGUCGGGAUGUGAAAGCGCAGCCUGGGAUCCAGAGCACCCAGGCGUGGACGGUGGGCUGGUCUGGGAGGUUUCAUUUCCAGUAAAUUGCUUUCUGGAGGCAGCAUUUACAUUCUGUCCCCAGUCCUAUGUGUGUUGCAAGGCAAUUCUCGAUGGCAUUUCUAUACUUUUUGGACUAUAUGUUUAAGUAAGUUCGAAGGGCAAACAGAAGCUUGGAAACUAGACCUAAUAGCACUUAGAAAUGUCUCUCUCCCCAGACACAUUCCAGGACAGGAAAUUCCUCCUCUCCCUGGAGAGAUCUGCUUACAUUCUAGAGGAAAGAAGAAUUGGGACAAUAACACAGAUCAGGAAAAGCGAAUAGACAAGGAGAAUCUUAAGAAAUGACUCCCUAGAUCCAGCCCACACUCCGAGGGAGGGGAUUAUACAAGGAAGUGAAUACCAGACAGUGUGGAUUAUUUGUGGCCAUCCCAGAGGACUGGGGACAAAGGUCAGUUUUGAGCAUGCAGAUGAGGGCAAUGCAGUAGGAUUGGGUGAAGAAACAGAUUGGAAGUAACUGGGUUUCUGAAUGACCACAUGGAGCCAAGUUGCCUGCCAACCUGCUCUGCUGACUCCAGACUGUGAUGUGAGAAAUAAGCCACUGAAUUAUUACUGGGUCCCUGUGACAGCAGCCUAGCUUUUACCCCUGCUAAUACACUUACCAAGUUAAGUAACCUCUUUGAGUGUCACUUUCGUUAUCUGUAAAGGGAGAAUAAUGUUGAUACAUCCCUUGGAAGGCUGUGGUGAUAAAUAUACAAGAUAAUCCAGACAAAGUGCUUGGUCCAGUGCCCUUCUCAUGGUAAUUUUUUAAAUAAGUGGUUUCUACUAGAAUUAAGAAUGAAGAUAAUUCCAUCUUUGGUUUGGAUGAUGCAUAUAGAGCUAGGAAAGCAGAUGGAGUUGGUGAACUGACAGAAAGACCUGAACUGAUUGAAACAGACUUGCCAUGAGUGGAACCCUAGUAUUCAUAUUUUUUAAAAGUUCCCCAGAUAGCUCUGGUGAGUACCUUGGUUUGGAUACACGUACUUUAUAUUGGCUAUGUAUGUCAUAUAGUAUUCCAUUAAUUAAAUGCCUUAAUGCUUUCCUUUGAGAGAAAGAUCAAUCUAGAAUUCCUGAUAUUCCCAUAAGUGCUAGAAAAGGGAAGUAUAAUAGGCCAAAUUACUCAUAUUCAAUGAAACACAUUUCUUGUUGACACUGAUGUCGAAAACAAACAAACAAAAAAACUGCAUGAGAGACUUCUAUUUGGGGCGGUAUUAUCAUCUACAUUCUCCAAAGAUUCUUCUUAUUAGAUCCUGCAAAAGACUUGAGUUUUCUGGCACUUCUGGGCUCAGGAGAUAAGGGAAAUCUUCAAGCCCAUAAAUCCAACCCAAGCAAACAAAGCUGUGAGCUGAAACUUGGGAGGUGGGUUGCGAGCAGACACGUUGAGUGAGGCUGCCUUACAUGCUAAAUCAGCACCGAGACAAGGAGACCGACUCCUGAGUCUGCUUACAGUUGAGGGGAUGAGCCUGAGGCUCCAGGUGAAGCUGGAGAUCCUGAAGGGAGCCAAAUCGGUCCCAGAUCAGUGGUGUCCUUGGGCUAUUGGCUGAAGCAAAUGUGAAUCAUCUCUGGAGGAGAGCAUGCCCCACAUAAGGGCCUAGGAGUUCAAGGGAUAAAGAUAAACCAAAUAUGAGCUGAUAAGUGAAGACCAACAAACACACAAGGGAACACGCCCUCACAAGUGAAGAAAGAAACCCAAAGGACAUCAGAUACUGCAGUUCUCAUUUUCCAAACAACAUAACUCUGUAGACAGUUUGUUUUUUAAAAAAACAGCCUUAUUGAGAUAUACUUCACAUACUGUACAAUUUACCCUUUUAACCCAUUUAAAGUGAGCAAGUCAAUGGUUUUUAGUAUAUUCACAGAUAUGUGCAAGCAUCACCAGAGUCAAUUUUAGAACAUUUUCAUCACCUCAAAAAAAAAAUUCCAUAUCCUUUAGCUGUCAUCACUGUCUCCUGUUUCCUGCCCCCCCCUAGUUUAGGCAACCACUGGUCUAGUUUCCAUCUCUAGAGACCUCCCUAUUCUGGACUUUCAUAUGAAUGAAAUCAUAGAGUAUGUGGUCUUUUGUGACUGGCUUCUUUCACUCAGCAUAAUGUUUUCAAGGUUCAUCUACAUUGUAGUAUAUAUCAGUAUGUCUUUCCUUUUUGUGGCUGAAUAAUAUUCUGUACAUUUCGUUGUAUGACUAUACCAGAUUUUGUUUAUCCAUUUAUCCAUUGAUAGACAUUUGAGUUGUUCCCACA